AUUUUUCCGAAACUUCCACAUCCCCCGCUUCGCCCGUUUUUUCAAAUCCCCCGCUUUGCCUCCCUGCGACGAUCUCGUCGCCCUCUAUCGCCACUUCUUCGUCGCCGCUUGCCUUCACUCGCAGCACCGACGCUGCCGAUUAUCUUCGCCAGUCGCCUUGCGGAAGGCAACGGAGGCUGUUGGAGCCAUGAAGCGGAAGACGCCAUUGGAACUUAGGAGUGAACAGUUGAAGCAAAGAAAUCGUCAGAUAAUUGAAGAAAAAAUUGUGCCUACUCGUCUUGCUUCAGAAAGGAAAAGUGAACAGUUGAAGAUUCAAAAAUAUUUUAAUAUUCGUGUCAAUGAUGUCUACCCCUAUUAAGAAGUCAAGUGAAAGAUGUAGAGUUUUAUAUGAAGAUGCAAUGGCCAAGGAUCUUUCGAGUGUUAGUGGAUUUCCUAAUGUUGUUCUUAACCCUUCUGGUCCUUCUUUACAAGUCGAGGGCAAAACAUCAAUUUUGUGUGAAAAUGUGACUGGGUUAAAUGAACUUGAAGGUGCUGAUCAAUCAUGCACAGAUAAGAGUUUUCAAGGUUUCCGGAAGAUCGAUAGAUGUAGCCAAAAUAUGCUGCGUAAUGUUGUUGAGCUUCAUCUGGGAGAUGAGACCCUUGCAACUUCUGCCAAA